UGCACGUUUAGGUUCCCGAGCACAAACAUCAAGAUAACGUUCACUGCCCUGUCCAGUGAGAAGAGGGAAAAACAAGAGGCGCCUGAGUCCCCGGGGAAGGCCGUGCAGCCACACAUCUCACCCCUGACCAUCAACAUUCCAGACACCAUGGCCCACCUCAUCAGCCCCCUCCCAACCCCCACAGGAACCAUCAGCGCUGCAAACUCCUGCCCAUCCAGCCCCCGGGGAGCAGGGUCUUCGGGGUACAAGAUGGGCCGAGUGAUACCCUCUGACCUCAGUUUAAUGGCUGACAGCUCACAGCCAGAAAAUGAAAAGGAAGCUUCAGGUGGAGACAGCCCAAAGGAUGAUUCAAAGCCACCUUAUUCCUAUGCACAAUUAAUAGUACAAGCAAUUACAAUGGCUCCCGACAAACGGCUCGCCCUAAAUGGAAUCUAUACGCACAUCCCUAAAAAUCAUCCAUACUACAGGACUGCAGACAAGGGCUGGCAGAAUUCAAUUCGCCACAAUCUCUCUCUGAAUCGUUAUUUCAUCAAAGUACCGCGUUCCCAGGAAGAACCAGGCAAAGGUUCAUUCUGGAGGAUAGAGCCUGCCUCUGAAAGCAAAGUAAUAGAGCAGGCUUUUAGGAAAAGACGGCCUAGGGGCGUGCCUUGCUUUAGAACCCCUCUGGGACCGCUGUCUUCUAGGAGUGCCCCAGCUUCUCCCAAUCAUGCCCGAGUGCUAUCUGCUCACUCCAGUGGUGCCCAGAGCCCCGAGAGUCUCUCAAGGGAAGGUUCGCCGGCCCCUCUGGAGCCUGAGCCCGGCGCCUUACAGCCCAAACUUGCCGUCAUCCAGGGAGCCCAGUUUGCCCAGAGCGCACCAGGGUCACCUCUGUCCAGUCAACCAGUCUUAAUCACCGUCCAGCGGCAGCUACCACAGGCCAUCAAGCCUGUCACCUACACUGUGGCCACCCCGGUGACCACCUCCACCUCCCAGCCACCCGUUGUGCAGACGGUUCACGUCGUCCGUCAGAUACCAGCGGUGUCAGUCACCAGUGUGGCUGGACUAGCUCCAGCGAUCACGUAUACCGUCUCUGGACAAGCUGUGGUUGCUCCGGCAGCCAUGCUGGCCCCUCCUAAGGCAGAGCCACAGGAGAACGGAGAUCACAGGGAAGUCAAAGUGAAAGUAGAACCUAUUCCUGCCAUCAGCCAGGCCACUCUGGGUGCUGCCGGCCGGAUCAUCGAGACACCUCAGACCACCCCUGUCCAGACGGUCACCAUAGUACAACAGGCACCUCUAGGUCAACACCAGCUACCAAUAAAAACUGUAACGCAAAACGGGACUCACGUGGUGCCAGUCCCCACUGCAGUCCACGGCCAGGUGAACCAUGCGGCGAGUCCUUUACACAUGUUGGCAACCCAUGCGUCCGCAUCGGCCUCCCUGCCCACAAAGCGCCAGAAUGGUGACCAGCCGGAGCAGCCAGAGCUGAAGCGGAUCAAGACGGAAGACGGCGAGAGCAUCGUCAUUGCCCUGAGUAUAGACACGCCACUGGCAGCUGUGAGAGAAAAGGGUGUCCAAAACUAGCGACUGGGAGAGUUUUUCUUACUUUAAAAAUAUCAACUUUGUGGUGCCAAAAGGAGACAUCGCCUCCCACCGGUGCAGGGCCCUGCGGUUGGACUUCACCUCUCAGCACUGAAAACACAAAACCCAGGUGGCCUUAAAACUCCUUACUUACUUAAAGACACAAGUCACACUUGAACAAAACCACACACAACAAAACCUGAUUCC